GACGAACGCUGGCGGCGUGCUUAACACAUGCAAGUCGAACGGAAAGGCCCUGCUUUUGUGGGGUGCUCGAGUGGCGAACGGGUGAGUAACACGUGAGUAACCUGCCCUUGACUUUGGGAUAACUUCAGGAAACUGGGGCUAAUACCGGAUAGGAGCUCCUGCUGCAUGGUGGGGGUUGGAAAGUUUCGGCGGUUGGGGAUGGACUCGCGGCUUAUCAGCUUGUUGGUGGGGUAGUGGCUUACCAAGGCUUUGACGGGUAGCCGGCCUGAGAGGGUGACCGGCCACAAUGGGGCUGAGGUGCGGCCCAGAAUCCUACGGGAGGCAGCAGUGGGGAAUAUUGCACAAUGGGCGGAAGCCUGAUGCAGCAACGCCGCGUGCGGGAUGACGGCCUUCGGGUUGUAAACCGCUUUCGCCUGUGACGAAGCGUGAGUGACGGUAAUGGGUAAAGAAGCACCGGCUAACUACGUG
rnacentral:rRNA from 1 species